AGCAUAGCUCAGUUGGCUAGAGCAGCUGAUUUGUAAUCAGCAGGUCGUGGGUUCGAGUCCCUCUGCCG
rnacentral:tRNA from 1 species